CACAGGAAGUGAGCACAAUUUGAGCAGCUGUGCCAACCUGGCUUCCGUUGGCCCCCACAUACGCCACCUUUCCCAAUUUUUUUUUACUUUUCCAGCUUUUUUGGAGGAAUUUUUCAAAGAAUUAAAAGAGAUAAGAUGGA
ensembl:ncRNA F55C12.15 ncRNA